rnacentral:lncRNA from 7 species
UUAGUAGCUACUGAUUUUGUGAAGGUAAUGGAACAGUAAAAGUGGUGUUGGAUGCAAUUGUACAAGAGGUAUGUGCCUAAUCUCUACAAAAGACAACGUUAGUGCACUUCUAUGCUGCACCCUAGCGUGCUGGUGUUCUUUUUGGAGUGAAGCACCAGGAGGAGGGAUGCCUGGUUCUAGGUUUUUGGCAGUGAAAUGUCUGUGUACAAUGUACUGUUUGUGAAUCAACCUACAGAAUAUGCUUAUGCUAAAAUCAAGACAUUCACCUUUUAAUUCCCUGUAGUUUAAAAAGCCUUUUCAUGUACCACAAGAGAUCUCGGCUUCCUCUGCUCUGUACUUUAAUCACUAAGGCCACAGCUUCCCCAUGCUACUGCUUGAGUUGCAAUAGGAAUUCUAUUUGUGAGGCUAGGCCAUGAACUACAAUAGGUAUUAUAAACUGAUUUUUCUUGAAAGGCAGCAGGGGCCUGGAGGCCUGCAGGAAACCACCCUGAAAGACCUCUUCACCCCUCCCUUUCCCCCCCCAGAAUUACAGAGAGAAUUGCUUAUUCCUAUACAAAGUGAACACCCCAUAGGCUGUAGAAUUGUCUCAAUUCAGUGAUUUUUUUACAGCCACCCUGGACUCACUUUGCAUAGGGCAUCAGAGGAAACCUGGCAUUCAAGGAGUGAGGCAACAAAGAAUUAGGGAGGUUACAAAAUCUGAAAUGAAAUGUCACUGUGGAAAAAUGAUCAAACUGUGUACCCAGGGAAGAUAGAUGUAGACUGCCUAAAACAACUGUGAAAUUCUUUACAGGCUUGGAAUUAUCACUGGAUCUGUGUUGCAGUUGUUCUCAUGGUCUGUGGUUUAUAAACCCAUAGCUGCUUUAUCUUGUAGCAGUGUGAAUAUGAUGAUCCGUUGUUUGGGACAUUUGAUACUUGUUUUAGUUAUUUAACUUAGCUUUUUCUCCCAACU